rnacentral:lncRNA from 1 species
CGAUGCUGGCAAUGAGCCAGCGGCGGCUGUCCGCGAGGGAACCUGGAUCAGCGGCAACAGCAGGAGCGCUGUGGCGUGCACAGAGGGUCAGAGCGGAUCUGCCCUAUGGGCCGGCAGGGGGAUGGUACCAACGUGACAGCAAAGGCGACAGCAGCUGCCAUAAGUUGGCGCCUGGUUGCUUUCCUGGCUUGCACGACCCAUGGCGUUAUAGUAUCACGAGUGCACAAAGCUACCAAAGGCGUGGUGUCCUGUCCUCACGGUGUUCGUGCAUAUGCGUGUGUAUUCCUGUGUGCAGCGGCCCUCGUGAGGAUGCCACCCGUAUCGGCUCCGCCGGUGUGGUGCGCCGCCAGGCCGUCGAUAUCUCGCCCCUGCGCCGCGUCAACCAGGUGCGUGUGACCUCUUGAUAUGAGCGCGGGUUCUUCAGCGGGGAUCACGGCGGAUCGGUAGCGGCGGCCAUAUAAGUUCCGGCACUGCCUUCGGCGCAGUCACAGCUUCAGUCACGUGCGCAGCAACGGGUGGGGUGAGGGGCAGCGGACACCCAGGCGUUCAGGUGGAAAGGCGCAACUGCGCUGCUUGAGCUUGGCCAAAAUUGAGGAGCUUGCGGGAUAGCACAGCGGUUGCCAAUCGCUGCGCAUGGACGAACAUGCUUUGAUGAUGUGCUCGGAGUCCAGGGGUUGGAGCUUUGUUGCCCCCGAAUGGGUUGCAUGUCUGGGCAGGUUGAUUGCCAUCAGCCGCAGACGGUUGCCACAUCGCGAGGUGUUAGGAGCAAGCAGUUCUAACAUACGCCGCGCUUUGAAUGGCAGGCAGUUGGCUUGCAGCUUGCCGCCUGUGCGCCGCGGGUGCACAGCUCCGCUAUCCAUGGCUGCUUGCCAGCCGCGACUACUGCACCCCGGCCGCCUACUCACAAAUCGUCUUUGUCCUCUGUGCUUCAUGUGCACAGGCCAUCUACCUGCUGACCACUGGCGCCCGCGAGGCCGCCUUCCGCAACAUCAAGACCAUUGCGGAGUGCCUGGCUGACGAGCUGGUGAACGCUGCCAAGGGCUCGUCCAACAGGUGGGCGCCUGCGUACUAGCACGAUGGGCUAGGAUUGGAGGCGCCAGAGGCCGCCGUGAGGCGGGCGGCAGUGGUGCCGGGUUGGUCAGGCAUCCAAGAAAAAAGUGCCGCGGUUGGGUUCGGGCGAGCGGCACAUGCAUUACGGCACUGCGCCUCCACCACAUUCAAGCACUUGUGAAGUUAUUCGCUCCUGACUUUUCACACAAAUGUGCCGCGCAGCUACGCCAUCAAGAAGAAGGACGAGAUCGAGCGCGUGGCCAAGGC